GAAAUGCGAUAAGUAAUGUGAAUUGCAGAAUUCAGUGAAUCAUCGAAUCUUUGAACGCACCUUGCACCCUUUGGUAUUCCAAAGGGUAUGCUCGUUUGAGUGUCAUUGUACUCUCACACUCUCUGAUCUUAGGAUUGGGAGUGGUGGAUUUGGGUGUUGCGGCUUCACUGUGGCUCACCUAAAAUGCAUUAGUGCAACUCUUGACUAAACCAUAGUAUGGCAUGAUAAGUAUCUUCGCCAGCACCUCUCCGCAGGGUGGUCAAUCGAGAGCUCUGUGCCUCUAACUGUCUUUGGACAAUCUUUGACAAUUUGACCUCAAAUCGAGUAGGACUACCCGCUGAACUUAA
rnacentral:misc_RNA from 1 species